AUGGCAAAGGCCGCCCUACCCUACCAAUGUACUGGUACAUCAAGUAGUACAAUACGCACUGUGCCCACAUGCGCAUCAUCAGCUUACCAACACAAUUACCUUUCUGUGAUGUUUGGAGACGGGCCAGCAUCAUCUUGUGAGCAAAAAGCAACACGGACAUCAUUUGAUCAGAGACGAGGAAGCCUCAAGAAAGCAUUCUUUAACUUAACCACCGACCGUCGUUGGAGAAGAUAUCAGUUGGCGUUGGCCGUGGCCCGUUGUGAACCAGCAGGAGUGGCGUUCCCCGGAGAUAAACAUCACAUCCACAGCGGCAUGCUAACAUGA
rnacentral:rRNA from 1 species